rnacentral:rRNA from 1 species
UCGACGGUUAAAGCAUCUUCGGAUGUGUAUAAAGUGGCGAACGGCUGAGUAACACGUGGGCAACCUGCCCUUUGCACUGGGAUAGCCUCGGGAAACCGAGGUUAAUACCGGAUACUCCAUAUUUGUCGCAUGGCGAAUAUGGGAAAGCUCCGGCGGCAAAGGAUGGGCCCGCGGCCUGUUAGCUAGUUGGUGGGGUAGUGGCCUACCAAGGCAAUGAUGGGUAGCCGGGUUGAGAGACCGACCGGCCAGAUUGGGACUGAGACACGGCCCAGACUCCUACGGGAGGCAGCAGUGGGGAAUCUUGCACAAUGGGCGAAAGCCUGAUGCAGCGACGCCGCGUGCGGGAUGAAGGCCUUCGGGUUGUAAACCGCUUUCAGCAGGGACGAGGCCGCAAGGUGACGGUACCUGCAGAAGAAGCCCCGGCUAACUACGUGCCAGCAGCCGCGGUAAUACGUAGGGGGCAAGCGUUAUCCGGAUUCAUUGGGCGUAAAGCGCGCGUAGGCGGUCUGUUAGGUCAGGAGUUAAAUCUGGGGGCUCAACCCCUAUCCGCUCCUGAUACCGGCAGGCUUGAGUCUGGUAGGGGAAGAUGGAAUUCCAAGUGUAGCGGUGAAAUGCGCAGAUAUUUGGAAGAACACCGGUGGCGAAGGCGGUCUUCUGGGCCAUGACNNNNG